ACGCACGCUGGCGGCGUGCUUCACACCUGCCAGUCGAACGGAAAGGCCCUGCUUUUGUGGGGUGCUCGAGUGGCGAACGGGUGAGUAACACGUGAGUAACCUGCCCUUGACUUUGGGAUAACUUCAGGAAACUGGGGCUAAUACCGGAUAGGAGCUCCUGCUGCAUGGUGGGGGUUGGAAAGUUUCGGCGGUUGGGGAUGGACUCGCGGCUUAUCAGCUUGUUGGUGGGGUAGUGGCUUACCAAGGCUUUGACGGGUAGCCGGCCUGAGAGGGUGACCGGCCACAUUGGGACUGAGAUACGGCCCAGACUCCUACGGGAGGCAGCAGUGGGGAAUAUUGCACAAUGGGCGGAAGCCUGAUGCAGCAACGCCGCGUGCGGGAUGACGGCCUUCGGGCUGUAAACCGCUUUCGCCUGUGACGAAGCGUGAGUGACGGUAAUGGGUAAAGAAGCACCGGCUAACUACGUG
rnacentral:rRNA from 1 species